AGACUCAGCCCACCUGCACCCAGGUGAAAUAAACAGCCAUGUAGCUCACACAACGCCUGUUUGGUGGUCUCUUCACACGGACGCACAUGAAAUUUGGUGCCCUGACUCGGAUCGGGGGACCUCCCUUGGGAGAUCAAUCCCCUGUCCUCCUGUUCUUUGCUCCCUGAGAAAGAUCCACCUAUGACUUCAGGUCCUCAGACUGACCAGCCCAAGGAACAUCUCACCAAUUUUAAAUCAGCGGCCAGGCGUUCCUCCAGAACCUCCUCCCACAGGAACUUGCUACACGUGCUGGAAAUCUGGCAACUGGACCAAGGAAUGCCCGCAGCCCGGGAUUCCUAAGCCGCAUCCCAUCUGUGUGGGACCCCACGGAAAAUCGGACUGUUCAACUCACCUGGCAGCCACUCCCAGAGCCCCUGGAACUCUGGCCCAAGGCUCUCUGACUCCUUCCCAGAUCUUCUCGGCCUAGCGGUUGAAGACUGACACUGCCCAAUCACCUCGGAAGCCCCCUAGACCAUCACGGACGCCGAGCUUCAGAACUGCAGGAUUCUCCAGGCUCAUCUUGUAUAUUUCAUGGCUCAGGCGCUGAAUCACCAUUUUCUCCAUGGAGCACUUGUACCUUGUAUUGGAGAAUAACAUCAGAAAUCAAGAUUUAGUUGUGUUCUCAAUUUCUUUAAAGUGUUUUCAGUUUUAAGUCGGAGCUUAAAUACUGAGUACACAUGGACACAAAGAAGGGAACAACAGACACAGAGGCCUGCUUGAGGGUGAAGAGCGAGAGGAGGAUGAGGAUCGAAAAACUACCUAUUGGGCACUAUGCUUAUUACUGGGUGACAAAAUAAUUUGUACACCAAACCCCCGUGACAUGGAAUUUACCUAUACAGCAAACCUUCCCAUGUAUUCCCAAACCUAAAAUAAAUGUUAAACAAAAA
rnacentral:lncRNA from 1 species